rnacentral:rRNA from 1 species
CANUCUGACCNGCCAUGCCGCGUGNNGANGAAGGUCCUCUGGAUUGUAAACUUCUUUUAUAGGGGGCGAAAAAAGGGAAAUCUUUCUCACUUGACAGUACCCUAUGAAUAAGCACCGGCUAACUCCGUGCCAGCAGCCGCGGUAAU